CUAAGAAUAUUCCGCAAUGGACGAAAGUCUGACGGAGCGACGCCGCGUGGAUGACGAAGGCCGAAAGGUUGUAAAAUCCUUUUGCUGGGGAAGAAUAAGCAUGGGAGGAAAUGCCCGUGUGAUGACAUGAACCGGCGAAUAAGCCCCGGCUAACUACGUGCCAGCAGCCGCGGUAACACGUAGGGGGCAAGCGUUGUUCGGAAUUAUUGGGCGUAAAGGGCAUGUAGGCGGUUUUGUAAGCCUGACGUGAAAUCCUGCAGCUUAACUGCGGAACUGCGUUGGGAACUGCAAGACUUGAAUCACUGAGGGGGAGAUAGAAUUCCAGGUGUAGGGGUGAAAUCUGUAGAUAUCUGGAAGAAUACCGGUGGCGAAGGCGAUCUCCUGGCAGAUGAUUGACGCUGAGGUGCGAAAGCGUGGGGAGCAAACAGG
rnacentral:rRNA from 1 species